UCCAUUCACCAACAAAUCCUGUCAACUCCAUCACUCUCACCCUGGUCUCCUGUAUGCCCUCUUGUCUUUCAUCCAUCUACUCUCCAAACAACUGUCAGAGUAGUCACUUACAAAUACAAUUCAGAUUACUUUAUUCUUUCAAUUUAAACCCUCCAGUGGUGUAUCAGUCAGCUCUUGCUUCAACAAUUCUGCUUAACAAACCGCCAUAACUUUUAGUGGUUUACAAUAGCAUUCAUUUUUCUCACCCACAGGCAGCUGAGGUAGCUCUGCUUCACGCUUUACGAUGGGUU
rnacentral:lncRNA from 10 species